UUCAAAUUGCAAAUCGACCUAAACAUAAUACUGUAAUUUAUAAUUUAAAAAAAAAAGCAGCCCAGUCUCAGCGCAGGAUGUACUUUAAAAAUGCACCAGGUUAGAUCCGAGAGGAAGCGUGAGGAUCUAGACCGAAAACAGCAGCUCCACCUCGUCCAGCUGAAGAGUUAGAAUGCAGAUUGCUAAAGGCACCAACACCAUCCUUUAGGAUGACAAUUAGAGGUCCAGGUUGUGGAUGCUACAAUGUCUCGCUCCAGCCAACUCCUGACUGUUCUGCUGCUGUGUGAGUUACUGGCAACAGUUUCUGCUUUUAAGUACAGAACCUGUGAGCCGUACCAGGAUGCUGCAAAAAUGCAUCACUCCGGAUUCUACUGUCCGCGGCUUAACGAGGAGCAGAAUCGUGUCUACUGCUGUCGUCAGAGCCACCAAACCCUGAAAUAUUGCUGCAAUGAGUCUCAGUUUCAGAGCACAAUGAAAAUCAACCAGACUGCACCCACAACGAGCUUUGUCAAUUACGGAUCAAUGAUUGCAGUCUGUGUGUACGGUCUCUGUGUUCUGGCCCUGUUGUUGACAGACCUGCUUCAUUACUACACUCUACACCGACACAGUCUCUGGCGGUACCAGCCUCCCUGCUGCCCACGUGGAUACUGCAAUGGUGACCAUGGAAACCAACCGCAGGCACAACCCUGAGGCCAGUGCCGUCAUCGCUGGGUCAGCGGUCAUCGCUGGGCAAAGGUCAUUGCUGGAACAAUGGUCAUCGUUGGGUCAAAGGUCAUCGCUGGGUUGAUGGUCAUCAGGUGUCUUGGCCUCUCCUGCCAGUUAAAGAUCCUUUCACUACUGGACAUGACUGGAGAGUGGUUGUCUGCUGCUGCUUGCACUGGUGGAAAUGUAGGCAUCCAACUGAUCUUAAGGGAGAAGCAGGGUUAGAAGCUUAAAUAUUAUGAUCAUGGCCCUGUUUGUUCUCUUGGGCCAUUUUGAAAGAUCCUACAGCACCAUAUGAAGAAGAGCAGGAGAGUACUCUCUCUUGGUUAAUGUUCAUCCCUUAAUCAACAUCACUGAAACUGAUUAUUUGCACUUUAUCUCAUUGCUGUUUGUGGGAGCUUGUUGUUGUUUCCCACAUUAUUACAGUGACAGCACUUCAACAGGUACUUCAAUGCUUGUAAAGCACUUUUGGGAUGUCCUGAGGUGGUGAAAGAGGCCAUAAAAAUGGACAUUUUUCUUUCUUUAAAUGUCUCGGACUGCAGGCUGUCCCCCGGCCACUGGAGUGCAGCUAGUUUUAAUAAGAUAAAACAAUCACACAAUGUGCGCUUGUAUCCAGGGUGACUGUGGUACGGCUCAGUUCAGACAACACAAAUUAAAUAGAUUUCUUUCAGAAAGCGACAUUUUGGGUUGUAGUAUAUGAAUAAUUUGAGACAUGAGUCUCAAACAGCAAGUGCAGCGUGUUCAAGAGGAACAGGCGACUUUAGAGUAAAAGCAAAAUACUGCAGAUGCUGGAAGCCUGAAAUAAAAAUGGAAAGUUCUGGAAAAACUCAACAGCUCCGGCAGCCACUGCGGUGGGGGAAACAGAGUUAAAUUUUUGAGUCCAAUAUGACUUCUUCCGAACUGAACCCAGUUUUGGAGAAGAGUCGUACAGGCUCGAGGCAUUAACUCGGCUUCUCUCUCCACAGUGGCUGCCGGAGCUGCUGAGGUUUUCCAGAACUUUCUGUUUUUAUUUUAUGUGGGUGAUUUUGGAGCUAUGGUUUUAAAAGCCUACUGGGGGUUUUCCUGUGCUAUUUCUAAUUGAUAGAGAUUGAUCCCUGUGAUUAAUCAAUAACUCUGUUAUCAUGGUAUCAUGUGGCUGUCAGAUAGGUGGAAGGUGAAUUCAUUGGACCUUGAACUUUCUUGGUUCAGAGGUUCCUGUGUUCCUAUGUUCACCACUUACCCUGCCUCAGACCUUGACUCUCACCGUGCAGCUGCUCCAGAGGGAUUAUAAUUCCGAUCUUCCAGGUUACAUACAUUAGACAGUUCCUUCUAUAAGGAACUUUUAUAGAUCAUAUGAGCUAUAAAAUAACCUAAUUCACACAGCACUGAAACACACUGACUGUUGUUACAUAGCAAAAUGCAUCAACCAUUCAACAGCUACAGAAUCCCACUGACCAGCACUCAGAUAAAUGUGAGUGUAGCUGCUGAGUAUAGGCAGGAACCUGGGCUGCGGGUGCAGUUUGCUCUGGUGAUGCCCAUCAGAAAACCACCCCUUCUGACAUCUUUGCGAUUGGCGAUGAAACCCACAAUUUGAAAUGCACCUUUUUCAAUUUUCAUCUCUCUACCUCUGAAGGUUCUAUCUGAUACUGGUAAUGUUUCACUGGUGCCGACAGCAGUACCUUAUUGGAAUUCCCACUCUUCACACAGUAGUCUCAGUUGUCCUGUUAGCCUUGAUCCUCUCCUCUCUGUUCAAUAGGUGGAUAUCCAGUUACUGAAUCAGACAGCAGAAGACAUCCGGCGAAUUUUUAAAAAUAUAUUAUUCGUUCAUGAGAUGUGGGCGUUGCUGGAUAGGCCAGCAUUUAUUGCUCAUCCCUAAUUGCCCUUUUUCAGAGGGCAUUUAAGAGAAUCACAACUAUUUUAUUGUUAAACCAUAGUUCAGUACAAAUACCAGUUUCCACUCUUCCCCACUAGAUCCUUCACCCCGUCCAGAAGUGAAAACCCCCUUACUGGGGAAAAGCCCAGCUCUUAAGUCCAGGCUUCAAUAAGCAUCACCUACUCUCAGUUCACUCUGAAUCUUGUCCUGGUUUACUCUUAAAGGAGACCUGCAUUUCUAACAUUGUCACUCUCAUCCGCCAUACGCUUCCCAAUGGGAAUCAUUGGAAAGUGAUCUGAUGUACGGCUGACUCUUUCUACCCCUCACCAGGGACACUGAAAUAGCUUUCAGUGCCUCCUCCCACUGAACCACCCCCCCAUCCUGAACUUGUGCCACUGUGCCCACUGAGGUUGGGUAUUCAAGCAGGGGUUGACCGAUUAUCUGGAGUAACCCAGUCACCCACCGAACCAUUUCAGCACACGUGUCUUUAAUUCAAUUAGCAGUUCAUUCUUUGUCUUUUCAGGUCUGGGUGAACAUGGUGAGAGAUUCGGGACAUUCCCCUGGCAUCUUGCAAACUUAAAAAUUGGAUAUAGUGUCAGUCGCGAGUCAGAAAAUGAUGGAUUUAAGUCCACUUGAGCAGAACUGCAUUCCGAAUGCAGUACUGAGGGAGUGCUGCAGUGUCAGAGGUGCUGUCUUUCAAAUGAGACAAUAAACCGAGAUCCCAUUUGCCCUCUCCUGUGGCUUUAAAAGAUCCUAUGGAACUAUUUUCAA